GUACUUACCUGGCAGGGGAGAUACCAUGAUCACGAAGGUGGUUUUCCCAGGGCGAGGCUUAUCCAUUGCACUCCGGAUAUGCUGACCCCUGCAAUUUCCCCAAAUGUGGGAAACUCGACUGCAUAAUUUGCGGUAGUGGGGGACUGCGUUCGCGCUUCCCCCCC
rnacentral:snRNA from 1 species